UCCAUGCAUCUAUCCAUUGAUUGACGGACUAACCGGUUUUUGGAUUUAAAAUCUGCAAUGAGAUGGACUGACAUACAGUUCAUGAUCUGGGAUUUGUAAUGUUUACCAAAAUAGUCUCGUGUUGCGGCAUUACUGCAUUUUAAACUGGUGUAUUCUUUUUGAAGACAGAAUAACUAAUACAUGAUCAUCUGAAGGGCUCUGCCUCACUUUCCUGUAAUUAAUCACCUCCGAGGUGCAGUCUGACAGCUCCGGUAGCACAGUCUCCUACUUCCCCCGCUUGUUUCGGGGCUCUGGGCUUGUCUGGUUUGAGGGACUCUGAAUUAAGCAGAAUAACUGCGGCGAAAUUUCUCACCCCGGUAGCCCGAAGCACAAGACCGAAACGCGGUUGCCUGGGUGCAGCCAGGGGAGGUUGGCUGUCACACAACAGUUUAACUCCAAACCUCAGUCUGUUACACGGCACCGACGCUCUUCAAGCGAAUCCUCCAACUAUAGCACUCGGGCUGCCAGAGAACCACCUUCGAUCAGAGGAGCUGGAUCUCAGUACAUCUGUGAUAUGUGGAGGUGCCAGCCAACGGAGAGGAGCAAGGGUGGAGGCCGCAGGUCUAUCUGCUGUCCUUCUCGGCUGCUGAGGAUGCCUGGUUUUGUGUUAUCGAGUGACAGCUGCAUACCAAAGUAAACGAGGUGGAAUUUGGGCA